rnacentral:rRNA from 1 species
UACCUGCAGCCCAAGUGGUGCUCGGUAUUAUUGGGUCUAAAACGUCCGUAGGCGGCUGAGUAGAUGCCCGGGGAAAUCGCAGCGCUCAACGUUGCGAAUUCCGGGUAGACCGCUCGGCUAGGGAGUGGGAGAGGUGUGAGGUACUCUGAGGGUAGGGGUAAAAUCCUGUAAUCCUUGGGGGACCACCAGUGGCGAAGGCGUCACACUAGAACACGUCCGACGAUCAGGGACGAAGCCCUGGGGCGCAAACGGG